rnacentral:rRNA from 1 species
CCUACGGGAGGCAGCAGUGAGGAAUAUUGGACAAUGGGCGCAAGCCUGAUCCAGCCAUGCCGCGUGCAGGAUGACGGUCCUAUGGAUUGUAAACUGCUUUUGCACAGGAAGAAACAACGCUACGUGUAGCGUCUUGACGGUACUGUGAGAAUAAGGAUCGGCUAACUCCGUGCCAGCAGCCGCGGUAAUACGGGGGAUCCAAGCGUUAUCCGGAAUCAUUGGGUUUAAAGGGUCCGUAGGCGGUUUAGUAAGUCAGUGGUGAAAGCCCAUCGCUCAACGGUGGAACGGCCAUUGAUACUGCUAGACUUGAAUUAUUAGGAAGUAACUAGAAUAUGUAGUGUAGCGGUGAAAUGCUUAGAGAUUACAUGGAAUACCAAUUGCGAAGGCAGGUUACUACUAAUUGAUUGACGCUGAUGGACGAAAGCGUGGGUAGCGAACAGGAUUAGAUACCCUGGUAGUCCACGCCGUAAACGAUGGAUACUAGCUGUUGGGAGCAAUUUCAGUGGCUAAGCGAAAGUGAUAAGUAUCCCACCUGGGGAGUACGUUCGCAAGAUGAAACUUAAAGAGUAGUAGCGUGAGAGAGCGACGACGGACGACGACGGAGGGAGGAG